AGAGAAUUGGCCGAGGGGUUUAAGGCGGUAAAUUUGAGCUUUACAUGGUGUAAAUCGCCACAUCCGUUCGAAUCGGAUAUUCUCUG
rnacentral:tRNA from 1 species